CAGUCGCCGCGGUAAUACGAAGGGUGCAAGCGUUAAUCGGAAUUACUGGGCGUAAAGCGUGCGUAGGCGGUUUGUUAAGUCUGUUGUGAAAUCCCCGGGCUCAACCUGGGAAUGGCAAUGGAUACUGGCAAGCUAGAGUGUGUCAGAGGAUGGUGGAAUUCCCGGUGUAGCGGUGAAAUGCGUAGGGAUCGGGAGGAACAUCAGUGGCGAAGGCGGCCAUCUGGGACAACACUGACGCUGAGGCACGAAAGCGUGGGGAGCAAACAGGAUUAGAUACCCCUGUAGUCCCUGUCUCUUAUAC
rnacentral:rRNA from 1 species